UACUUCACACCCUGCACCCUGUUAUCCACUCCAUUGUGGGCCAGCUGUGGAACAAGGGGAUCCCGCAGAUGUUGAAGAUACUGGAAGACCACUCUGAGGAGAACCUGAGUCAGAAGGAAUGGGAGGACAGGCUGCUCCAGUUUUUAAGGCAGUCAUUAGUGGCCAUUGAUGAUGACAACCUGCUGGAGCAGCUCAUUAGA